rnacentral:misc_RNA from 1 species
GAUGAGAACGUAGCGAAAUGCGAUAAGUAAUGUGAAUUGCAGAAUUCAGUGAAUCAUCGAAUCUUUGAACGCACAUUGCGCCCGCCAGUAUUCUGGCGGGCAUGCCUGUUCGAGCGUCAUUACAACCCUCAGGCCCCCGGGCCUGGCGUUGGGGAUCGGCGGAAGCCCCCUGUGGGCACACGCCGUCCCUCAAAUACAGUGGCGGUCCCGCCGCAGCUUCCAUUGCGUAGUAGCUAACACCUCGCAACUGGAGAGCGGCGCGGCCAUGCCGUAAAACACCCAACUUCUGAAUGUUGACCUCGAAUCAGGUAGGAAUACCCGCUGAACUUAAGCAUAUCAAUAAGCGGAGGA